rnacentral:rRNA from 1 species
UAUUGCACAAUGGGGGGAACCCUGAUGCAGCGACGCCGCGUGAGUGAAGAAGUAUUUCGGUAUGUAAAGCUCUAUCAGCAGGGAAGAAAAUGACGGUACCUGAAUAAGAAGCCCCGGCUAACUACGUGCCAGCAGCCGCGGUAAUACGUAGGGGGCAAGCGUUAUCCGGAUUUACUGGGUGUAAAGGGAGCGUAGACGGUUAUGCAAGUCUGGAGUGAAAGCCCGGGGCUCAACCCCGGGACUGCUUUGGAAACUGUAAAACUGGAGUGCAGGAGAGGCAGGCGGAAUUCCUAGUGUAGCGGUGAAAUGCGUAGAUAUUAGAAGGAACACCAGUGGCGAAGGCGGCUUGCUGGGCCAUUACUGACGCUGAUGCACGAAAGCGUGGGGAGCAAAUAGG